rnacentral:lncRNA from 1 species
CACUGAUAGUUCCAGCGCUGAACUUCACACAUUUUCAAUGUUUCUGAAGUACGCUCGCUGGUAAAUUGAUGAAAUUACUGUAUUUUCGACAUUUGAACGCAUUAGCCGACCUCUCAUGAAUCUAUAUAAUAGUUGUAUUUUAUGUAGCCAGCUUUAUUAAUGUUUAUUGGAGGUAUGUAGACUCUUAAUUGCUGCUAGCUUAAGUAACAAACACUUAACUAAUAUUAGCUACCAUAAUCUGAUGUUGGGCUACAUUUACCUCAAAUUUUCAAGUUCGUUGGCAUACAACGUUUAUCGUCGGUUGUUAGAUUUGUUGUUGAAGUGAUUAACACUUGUUUGCGACCGUAUUAGUACACCUGAUUACAAUUAACUUUAGCUAGCUUUACUAGAAUUUUUGUUUUUUAUUUAUUUUUGCUACCUCAACUAGAUAACAUGGCUAGCUUGUAUCUAGCAAGGUUGUUCCUUGGUUAAUUUAGUCAUUGAAGUUAUACACAUGAAACUAGAAUACAUCUUUGUAAAUAUUAAGUAUUUUUGGAUGACAUUUAAUUAUUUCACUUUUUUUCUCUCUUUUAGGAGGUGAAAAACAAGUCUAAACCAAGACUUAAACUUAGAUAAAGUAAUUGUCAGUAAUUUAAGUUCCAGCUGUCGAACAGGUGGGAUUUAAUUUGCAAAGCCAUACACUGUAAGCCAUCACUGUAUGUGUGUGUUGUUUUGUUUGUUUUCAACAGGAUGGAUUAUCGGUGGGGAGUGGAGCAGUGGCCAGGCUGGGGGAGCUUGUGGUUCCUGUAAGCAAUGGAGUGAUGAUGAAGCUGGUUUAAAUUUGAACAGUGGGGUGCUGAAGCUGGUGGGGUGAUGGUGAGGCUAUCAUGGCAUGAAGGAAGCCUGCUGUCCAAGAGCCUACCCUCUCUCUCCAGCAUAUCCAUGGCAUUUGGAUCCAUAAAGGAGCCACUGGUCCUAGUUCGGAACAGCUCCUCAAUUUGCCGGACUAAAUCGAAGGCCUCUUGUGACGGCCGACAAAGUACACCUGGCUUGAACUCUUUCAGCUUCAGUAAAACACUGUGAUUUCCUUCAGGACUGUCAUCAUUGUGCUUAAUUGCACUUUGGCAACCCUCACAAAUCUUGGAAUAUUUAAUCACUUAAUUGAUAUUCACUUGUUGUGCAUGUACAGUACAGGUCAAAAGUUUGGAAACAUUACUAUUUUUAAUGUUUUUGAAAGAAGUCUCUUCUGCUCAUCAAGCCUGCAUUUAUUUGAUCAAAAAUACAGAAAAAACAGUAAUAUUGUGAAAUAUUAUUACAACUUAAAAUAAUAGUUUUCUAUUUGAAUAUACUUUAAAAAAAAAAAAUUAAUUCCUGUGAUGCAAAGACUGAAUUUUCUAGCAUCAUUACUCCAGCCUUCAGUGUCACAUGUAACAUCCAGUCUAUCACAUGAUCAUUUAGAAAUCAUUCUAAUAUUCUGAUUUAUUAUGAGUGUUGGAAACAGUUCUGCUGUCUAAUAUAUUUGAUGAAUAAAAGGUUAAAAAGAACUGCAUUU